CACCCAGCGAAAAAAGAGGCACUGCGCAACACUAGAGGCUGUGGACUCGUGUCCCUUCUUCCCAUUUCAGUGGACCCUCGAAGGGAUAGUGGCUAACGUGCGCGCGUGCGCGUAGAGCCGGGGGCCACACACACAGUGAGAGCA
ensembl:ncRNA R09A8.6 ncRNA